GGGCCCGUAGCCCAGCCAGGAAUAAGGCGCCGGCCUGCGGAGCCGGAGAUCCCGGGUUCAAAUCCCGGCGGGCCCU
rnacentral:tRNA from 1 species